GACGAACGCUGGCGGCGUGCCUAAUACAUGCAAGUAGAACGCUGAAGGAGGAGCUUGCUUCUCUGGAUGAGUUGCGAACGGGUGAGUAACGCGUAGGUAACCUGCCUGGUAGCGGGGGAUAACUAUUGGAAACGAUAGCUAAUACCGCAUAAGAGUAGAUGUCGCAUGACAUUUGCUUAAAAGGUGCAAUUGCAUCACUACCAGAUGGACCUGCGUUGUAUUAGCUAGUUGGUGAGGUAACGGCUCACCAAGGCAACGAUACAUAGCCGACCUGAGAGGGUGAUCGGCCACACUGGGACUGAGACACGGCCCAGACUCCUACGGGAGGCAGCAGUAGGGAAUCUUCGGCAAUGGACGGAAGUCUGACCGAGCAACGCCACGUGAGUGAAGAAGGUUUUCGGAUCGUAAAGCUCUGUUGUAAGAGAAGAACGAGUGUGAGAGUGGAAAGUUCACACUGUGACGGUAGCUUACCAGAAAGGGACGGCUAACUACGUG
rnacentral:rRNA from 1 species